CAGUCGAACGAGCGAGAGGAGGUUUACUUUCUCAAGCGAGUGGCGAACGGGUGAGUAACGCGUGAGGAACCUGCCUCAAAGAGGGGGACAACAGUUGGAAACGACUGCUAAUACCGCAUAAGCCCACGACCCGGCAUCGGGUAGAGGGAAAAGGAGCAAUCCGCUUUGAGAUGGCCUCGCGUCCGAUUAGCUAGUUGGUGAGGUAAUGGCCCACCAAGGCGACGAUCGGUAGCCGGACUGAGAGGUUGAACGGCCACAUUGGGACUGAGACACGGCCCAGACUCCUACGGGAGGCAGCAGUGGGGAAUAUUGCACAAUGGGGGAAACCCUGAUGCAGCGACGCCGCGUGGAGGAGGAAGGUCUUCGGAUUGUAAACUCCUGUUGUUGAGGAAGAUAAUGGCGGUACUCAACAAGGAAGUGACGGCUAACUACGUGCCAGCAGCCGCGGUAAAACGUAGGUCACAAGCGUUGUCCGGAAUUACUGGGUGUAAAGGGAGCGCAGGCGGGAAGACAAGUUGGAAGUGAAAUCCAUGGGCUCAACCCAUGAACUGCUUUCAAAACUGUUUUUCUUGAGUAGUGCAGAGGUAGGCGGAAUUCCCGGUGUAGCGGUGGAAUGCGUAGAUAUCGGGAGGAACACCAGUGGCGAAGGCGGCCUACUGGGCACCAACUGACGCUGAGGCUCGAAAGUGUGGGUAGCAAACAGGAUUAGAUACCCUGGUAGUC
rnacentral:rRNA from 1 species